UACCAUGUGGCUGUAUAUCGAAAAGAAUUGCAUUGCGUCUAUCAUGCAAAUACUGUACCUGUAUUGUUCAAGCAGUCUAUAGCGGAUCCUGUUAUUUCAGUUGUUGUUUGCUUCGAAUUAUUUGAACCUCUUGAAACUUCGACGUGCUUCUAUUGCAUAGAAUUCAAGGGUUAUGAAUAUUCUACAUUAUAUUCCACAUCAGGAUUGAGCAAAGGGCAGUGGGAAAAGGCAGGGACACUCCCCUCCGCUGGAAAGGCUGGUUAGAAAAGUUACUUGUACUAUUUUUGCAAGGCAGUGGUUUCUUUUCCUACUCAGUGGCUCAAAUCUGAAGUUAGUAACACAUAAGUUCUAUUGAAAGGGAAGGGUAUCUGGGUGCCCAUAGCUGUGUUCAGUUGCUUUCAAUGUGAAUCAAGUAGACCUCAUUACUAGAGAGCAGGAUAAGCAUUAAGCAGAAUUCAAUUAUAACCUCUAAUAGAUAUUUAAAUAUAGUGGUCCUGAAAUAGCAGAAAUCUAAUGGAAAUGGGGUAUGUGGUCUAAUUAGGGAAGCUUAAUUUCACGGGAACUUGUUGACUUUCCAUAUCAUUUUUGAACAUCUUUAAAAAUUGACUAGCUUACUGAAAUUGUGUGAUGAGCAACACCGAACCACAGCUCAUAGACUUAGUAAAACAGAUUCAGAAUGGUUACUGAGUGAGAAGCUUAACGUAAAAUCUGUUUGCUUCCUAUUGACUGGUUAAAUUGGCUAUAGGUUUGACAUCUCAAUAAUCUUCAGAAAAAGUAGAAUAUAUUGGAUACGCUAAACUCACCAAAGGUCUGUCAUAGUGUUAAAUCUUGUCCUCAAUACUUAGUGCUUUCUUGGCAUUUUCUCAUAUUAUUUCAUCGUGUCCAAGAGAUCAAGGGCAUAGACUUGAUAUGGCAAAAUCAAUUCAUCCUGAAAAGCUGGUUCAACCUGAAAUAAUCAAAGUCAAUCAGUGAGAGUGGCUAUUAAACUAACCUUGCAAAUCCCUUCUUGUCAGAUAUCUUCAUUGUACAACUGGAGGCAAAAUAGAACUUCUGGCUACUUCUUCACUUUUGUUUCCAGAAGGCUUAGCUCCUCCUCGUGAGCUUUAUCCUAGCAAAAUUGUAUUUAUUUUGAUUUGAUUUCACCCUACCCUUCCAACGGGGACGCGGGUGGCGCUGUGGGUUAAACCACUGAGCCUAGGGCUUGCCGAUCGGAAGGUUGGCGGUUUGAAUCCCCGCGACGGGGUGAGCUCCCUUUGCUCACUGCCAACCAAGCAGUCCGAAAGCAUGUCAAAGUGCAAGUAGAUAAAUAGGUACUGCUCUGGCGGGAAGGUAAAUGGCGUUUCCAUGUGCUGCUCUGGUCUCACCAGAAGCGGCUUAGUCAUGCUGGCCACACGACCCAGAAAAACUGUCUGCGGACAUACACUGACUCCCUCGGCCUAUAGAGCGAGAUGAGCACCACAACCCCAGAGUCAUUCGUGACUAGACUUAAUUGUCAGGGGUCCCCUUACCUUUACCUUACCCUUCCAACAGGUUCCCGGGGUGGUUUACAAAAACUUUAUU